rnacentral:rRNA from 1 species
UACGUAGGGGGCAAGCGUUGUCCGGAUUUAUUGGGCGUAAAGCGCGUAUAGGCGGCCAGAUAGGUCUGCUGUGAAAACUCGAGGCUCAACCUCGAGCUGUCGGCGGAAACCAUCUGGCUAGAGUCCGGAAGAGGAGAGUGGAAUUCCUGGUGUAGCGGUGAAAUGCGCAGAUAUCAGGAAGAACACCAAUGGCGAAAGCAGCUCUCUGGGACGGUACUGACGCUGAGACGCGAAAGCGUGGGGAGCGAACAGG